AAACACCAUGCCAACACUCCAAA
rnacentral:misc_RNA from 1 species